CAAGAGAGCUGUAACACUAAGAAGAGCUGUAACACAGUAAAGGCUUGUUUGCAGAAGAAUCCUGUUGCCGUGCGUCGUUCUUACUGGCGGGACAUUAGGUGAAAAUCCAUGUCAGGUUUUUCAUUUUAUUUUUACUCUGAAAUCGAGAGGAUAAUUCAGGUGCAUCAUUCAAAUGUACAUCACAACCUUGGUGCAAAGGAACAUGUUUUACUGGAGAUGUCUAAGGGACUCAUCUCUUGAAGAAAUGGACAUCAAGUCUCUUAUCCUCAGAAGAAUAAUAAAUGGAGUAUAAUAAGACAUGUUUAGAUCAAAAAGUCAUUUAAAUAUUUUUUCAAUAUAACAUUUGGAUUUAUUUCCUG
ensembl:lncRNA